rnacentral:rRNA from 1 species
GGAAAGGCGCGCGAUACAGGGUGACAGCCCCGUACACAAAAAUGCACAUGCUGUGAGCUCGAUGAGUAGGGCGGGACACGUGGUAUCCUGUCUGAAUAUGGGGGGACCAUCCUCCAAGGCUAAAUACUCCUGACUGACCGAUAGUGAACCAGUACCGUGAGGGAAAGGCGAAAAGAACCCCGGCGAGGGGAGUGAAAAAGAACCUGAAACCGUGUACGUACAAGCAGUGGGAGCACGCUUAGGCGUGUGACUGCGUACCUUUUGUAUAAUGGGUCAGCGACUUAUAUUCUGUAGCAAGGUUAACCGAAUAGGGGAGCCGAAGGGAAACCGAGUCUUAACUGGGCGUUAAGUUGCAGGGUAUAGACCCGAAACCCGGUGAUCUAGCCAUGGGCAGGUUGAAGGUUGGGUAACACUAACUGGAGGACCGAACCGACUAAUGUUGAAAAAUUAGCGGAUGACUUGUGGCUGGGGGUGAAAGGCCAAUCAAACCGGGAGAUAGCUGGUUCUCCCCGAAAGCUAUUUAGGUAGCGCCUCGUGAAUUCAUCUCCGGGGGUAGAGCACUGUUUCGGCAAGGGGGUCAUCCCGACUUACCAACCCGA